rnacentral:tRNA from 1 species
UGGGCUAUCCUAAAGUGGUAGACACAGCACAUUGAUUGCUGUAUUCGCCGGUUCGAGUCCGGUUGGCCCAG